AUGGAAGGAUUUGAUCAAUCAGGCUGCUGGCUAUAUUCCAGGACUUAACUGAUCCCGGGUAUAACCAAAACCUGAUUCUAUGGUACUAAAG
rnacentral:pre_miRNA from 14 species